rnacentral:lncRNA from 1 species
GAUGAGACAAUGUGAGACAGUAAAAGUGUAAUACCCGUUUUUUUCUAAAAUAAAAUAAUAAAUAAUAAUAUCUGAAAAAUCUCCAUUUAUUACUUCUCAUAAAUCAAAUCCAACACCAUAAAUCCGAUAAAAAGAAUAAAUCCUGAAAAUAUCGAUUAAAUCAUAAAAUCGCAAGUCUGAAAAAGAAAUAAAGAAAUCACCCAAAAGCAC